rfam:Heterocephalus glaber contig47734, whole genome shotgun sequence.
GUCUACAGCCAUAGCACCCUGAACGCGCCCGACCUCGUCUGAUGUCGGAAGCUAAGCAGGGUCGGGCCUGGUUAGUGCUUGGAUGGGGGACGUGUGUAAACAGUGUGGAGCUGACU